UCCAGACAAAUUCUGGUUUAUUUGCAUUCAUAGGAAACACCUAAGGACUUUUAAACCUCAAAGAUGAGGGUGGGAACAACAGAGAAGAACCUAUUAUUGGGCCACCUAUCAAGCAAAAAGAAAAUACAGCAAUACAAGGUCUCCAGAUUUGCCACCCAUGCUGAGUGCCGUGGUGUGAUCAUGGCUUAUUUCAACCUCAACCUCCCCCACUCAAGCGAUCCUCCUGCCUCAGCCUCUGGAGUAGCUGGGACUACAGGCACGCACCACCACACCCAGCCAUAAUUUGCCUCUUGCUGUAACUAAAAGGUCACAAAAACAAAGAAUUCUAAAAAAUCUUCUUCUUAAGUGCUGAAUACAUAUAGGAACUACAGUUCUCAGACCUGCAGUGAGUUCUGACCAAUGGAAUUCAGUGGGAUGAUAGAUGCUGCCUUUGAAGCCACCCCAUCAACUGGCUCAUCUCCUCCUGUCUCAGCUCUUUCUCCUGCUGCAUCCUGAUGCAGGACCACUGCACAACCUCACAAACCUUAUGUGGAAAGUAGUGGAGCCACCAGAUGUUAUGGGUAUCCUUUAAUGGAGAACUUUACACUACUUUGAAAUGACAGUUUUAUACUUUUCAUAAGAAAGAAAUAAACUUCCAUUGUACUAAGCCACUGUGUUUUGGGCUUUGUUGGUUAAAUGGUGAGCAAUAUCCUAACGAUUGCACUGAAACACCACUUCUCCACCAUGGGAGCAAUGGAACUUAGAAUUGUAGAGUGAACAAGGUGGAUGACAAGGAAAAUAAUGGGAGCAGGCAUUUUAUAUAUACAAUUAUGGAAAGCAC
rnacentral:lncRNA from 1 species